CCAAUAGCGUAUAUUAAAGUUGUUGCAGUUAAAAAGCUCGUAGUUGAAUUUCGGGAUCUAUCCGUCGGUCGGGCCUCACGGUCCGCACUGGUGUGAUGGAUUCCUACCUUCUGAAUAACCGGUAUGCCAUUAAUUUGAUGUGCCGGGGAAGCAGAACCAUUACCUUGAAAAAAUUAGAGUGCUCAAAGCAGGCCUAUGCCUGAAUACAUUAGCAUGGAAUAAUAAAAUAGGACGGCAUGGUUCUAUUUUGUUGGUUUCUAGGAUCACCGUAAUGAUUAAUAGGGAUAGUUGGGGGCAUUAGUAUUCAAUUGUCAGAGGUGAAAUUCUUGGAUUUAUUGAAGACUAACUUCUGCGAAAGCAUUUGCCAAGGAUGUUUUCAUUAAUCAAGAACGAAAGUUAGGGGAUCGAAGACGAUCAGAUACCGUCGUAGUCUUAACCAUAAACUAUGCCGACUAGGGAUCGGACGAUGUUAAUUUUAUAAUGACUCGUUCGGCGCCUUACG
rnacentral:rRNA from 1 species